rnacentral:rRNA from 1 species
AUGGACCAAUCCAUCCCUUUUUCCCGUGCAUAUGCAUCGGACUCGGAUGAUGAUGGUCCUGAUGAAGAAGUUGAUGAGGAGGGGUUCACACCGAAGGAGGCCGAAGCAUUCAAGAAGGUAUUCGGGCGAGAUCACAAGACACCAUUGUUCAAGGAUCUUAGUCUCACGGAUGAAGCCAUUGUGGAUGGUGGAAAAUGCGUAUCUCUUGGAGCUAGGCCAAGUUCUCAC